GACAAAGAAGUAAGUUUACAUUUAGUUUCGACCUAAAAUUUAAAGAAUAAUAAUUCUUCAUGUCU
rnacentral:tRNA from 1 species